rnacentral:rRNA from 1 species
UCUAAUAAUGCAAAUGAAAUUUUUUGGUUUGGAUUAAAUUGUUUUUUUUUAUUUUAUAAUAUUUUAAGGUGAAAUUUAAAUUUUAUAAUUUUUUAAUUUUUAUUGAGGUCUAUAAAUUGAUGAAUAAACUAGGAUUAGAUACCCUACUAUAAAAACUUAAUUUUAUUCCUUAUUAUUAAUAGUUAUGUUCUUUAAAGUAAAAAAAAUUGGCGGUAUCUUAAUCUUUUUAGAGGAACCUGUUCAGUGAUUGAUACUCCACGAUUAAAUUUACUAAUUUUAUGUUUAUAUAUCGUUGUUAAAAUUAUUCUUUUAGGAUAUAAUUGUAAUUUAAAUUUUAAUUUAGUUCAGAUCAAGGUGUAGCUUAUAAAUUAGUUGAAAUGGGUUACUAUAAUUUUAAUUUUUGAUUUUUAUUUUUAAUAAUUUAAUGAAUACGGAUUUAAUUGUAAAUUUUAAUAUAUAUUAAAAUUUAUUUUAGCUCUAGGAU